AUGACGUAAGAACCUCAUAGAAUGGACAUUCAUGGCUAAGUGUUUCAUAUUUCAACUAUCAAGCUCAGAGCUAUGUUAUCAAAUCUUAGUUGGCCUGACUUAGGUUUUCCGCCAAAUAUGCGAAAACCAGAAAAGUGAUUAUGUUUUUUUUCUUUCCCGCCAUCUUGUUCCAGAAAACACUUGGUGCUUAUAUAUCGAGGCAAAUAAAAUUUAAUGGAGUCAUCAACCUAAAAGAAUGUCGCUCUAAAGCAAAGUUUUGAGUUUAACGAAUGGGGACAUGUUCUAGUGAAUGAAGCUAAGAUCUAUCAUUAAAAAAGACAUAUCUUUUUAUUUAAUUCAUAGAAUUAAUUUUUUGUAGCAUUUUAGCCAACCA